UCAAAGAUCAGACCAAUGUUGAUUAAUUAUUAAAGGGCAAAAAGGUAAUUUAAAUUUUUUUCAUAUGAAAAAGCCAAAAUAAAAUAAUUAUGUAAAAACCAAAACAAAAAAUUUAUCAUCUUCUCCACCAAUCCCAACCCAACCCAAAACCUCCAAAAUGCCGGCACCACCACACCCAACCAACUCCGACACCACCUCACCCAUCAUCACCAACAUGCAAUUGUCUGUAUAUCUAUUUUCAACACGCAACUCCAACACCUUUUGCUCUUCCUUUCAACCUUAAACCCACAGAACACCACUAAUUAGGCUAGAAUUAACCCACAAUCGCAAAAAUCAGGCAUUUUCUGUAUUGUCCACAUCUUUUUCUUUGCCAAAAGUUGGACAAAUUUCUAGAAAAUCAAGAAUUGACACCAGUGCUUAUGUUUUCGGCCCAGCUUUCGAUGCUCUUCGUAAAAAAUUGAGCCAAAAAUCGACGAUAUGUGUGGGAUUGAGAUUGAAGAAUUGCAAUCAAUUGAUAUGAUUUCACGGUACAAAUUGAGACUUUCGGCUUCGAUUCUUAGUCUUCUGUGUUGCAAAGCUAGCAUCCUUUCCACGCAACUGUGUUAUUGGAAAUAAUUUAACGAGCUAGACUUCUUGGCCUUGCUGCAAACGUAGGAUUUUGAGUUUUCAAUACCUCUUCCGUGAUUUUAGGUGAAGAUAGGAGAGGCGGUGUUAGAGUUACAUCGGAGAAUUACGCCGUGGUGGUGAUGAGUGAGGUGGCGUCGAAGUUAGGUGGCCGUGGUGGUGCUGGAAUUUGGAGAGUUUUUGGUUUUGAGUUGGGGUGGCGUGAGUGGAGAAG
rnacentral:lncRNA from 1 species